rnacentral:lncRNA from 1 species
UGACCUGUAUAGGUUAAGUGCUUACAGGUCUUAUUUCACUUAAUCGUGAAAACAACCCUACAGAAUGGGUAUAGCUAUCUUUAUUUUAUAGGUGAGGAACAUAAUAAAGAAACAAUUUCAACACUUAAAAACUAAGAAAACUUUAAAAAUAAGUGAUUUAUUACAUUUAACUAAAAAUAUUCUCAGAAAACUAAAGGAAUACAACAUGUAUCAGGUAGGAGAGACCACUUUACGGCUUUCACCAUUCACAUUCCUCUUGGAGUAUUUUGCCGCCUUUGAUGACCUGUCAUUCUGCAUAGAGAAGAAUAUAACAUGGGGAAAAGGAUUCUGAAGGUGAAGUGACAGAAGAAAAUUUAAAUCUACAAAUGGCACUAAAAGGAGAAACAUUAAAAAAUAAAUUCCUUGAUAAAAAGAAGAAAAAUGGAGGACAAGAACUUCCAGACCACAAAUGGAAAAAAACAUGUUCUAACAAAGGCAUUGCAAUGAAAACCUGAAUGGAAGAUUGGUCUCCUUAUGGGAAACUCAUGAGAACCUU